GCUAUGAUGCCAGAGCUAGCCUGAGAUAAUCCUUAUUUCAGGCGGUGUGCGUUGUGACGUGCGUGAACCAUUAUCAGAAAC
rnacentral:ncRNA from 1 species